rnacentral:lncRNA from 1 species
UCAAUUCCAGAACGAUGAGAAAUUAAACUCUGGUUCAGCAUGCAAUAUAUUAGCUACCAUUCCACACGCACCAUUCAAGAAACUUUGGUAUGUCAUAGCUAGACACACACACACACAAAUGGUUAAACAUCAAUUCGAGCUCCCAAAUGAAUGCAUGCCCUACUGCCCUUGUUCUUCAUGUGCAUAUGCCUCUACGGUCGGACAUACUCGUACUAACAUGACGCAGAAGGUACACUGGAUAUGCAUUCAUUCUCAAGGCAAUGUCAUUUCUAACUUACAUAUUGUAUGACGAUCAUGUGGUGAGUUGUAAAUCAAAACGUUAGCCGAUUGAAUUAAAACACUAACCAAUCGUGACGUUACAACGGCUUGUUUUUUUCUUUAAUUAAAUGAGAAAGAAAACAACUUAAAAUAUAAUAUCGUAUAAAUUAAGUUAUCAUCAAUGCUCCCAGACUAAGAAAUNNNNNNNNNNNNNNNNNNNNCCCUCCCCGGCGAUCUCAGGCGAGACCGCCGAAUUUCAGUUUCCGGCGAGAUCGACUUUAUUUGAAGUUUUGGGUGAUCUCGCUGGAAAACUGGAAUUCGGCGGACUCGCCGGGGAGGGAAAGUGAUCGGGGACGCUGCUGGAGUCCGCUGGGGUGGAGGCGCGCCGUCGUCGGCGCUGGACGGUGGCGAACGGAGCUCCAUGCGCACUUACGCACGUGCGCUUCAUAUCCGGCCUAUAUAUAUAGAAAGGAUGAGGAGCGGACGUCCGCACUUUAAGCCGAGUGCGGACGUCCGCUUCACAUCUGGACUGUAUAUAUAUUUAUACAAUAGUCGCCCGCUUCACAUCUGGACUGUAUAUAUAUUUAUACAAUAGUCGGUAGUAAAAGGAAGGUGUAGAGAGAAUAAGAGGUAUACUAAGCAAAUUUGGAGGUCCCAAUAGCCGCAUUCCGUACAAAUAUGAUUUGAUCAUAAACAAACAAUAUGAAAGCUACUGAUAGAGUGAUAUAGUUGGUCCAAAUUAACAUACAUCAUGUAUAUAUAAUGCAAAUUGCAUAAAUGAUUGUUACGAGUCAUGAGUUAGCUAGUGAGCUAGCAAUCGAAGUACAUGUUAUUGCUGAUGAUUUAUGAUCCUUUUGAAACAAUAUUAAGCUAAAUGGAUGCACUACUUGAUGUUUCACCAAACUUUGUUGGUGUAUUUUAGGGCAUCACAUGAAUGGGGAUGAACACCCUACUCACAUAACGUAUCAUAUCUUCUCCUAAUUAAGCGUCCUUAUGAGCACGAAUUGAGGGAGGAGAUCUGAUCCGGAAUGAAGUCGACUCCGGCCGAUAACUAAGAGCAUAUACAUGCAUAACUAAGAUCCGCUAUCAGGUCUUGUUCAAUUCGAGAAAAUGAAACAUUAUUUCAUGAUAGAAAAUUAAGGAGCCAUUCUAAUGAGGAACUUUAAAUUGUUGAUAAUUUUUCGGUUUAUG